AGCUAAUAGAUACCCGGGUAGUCCACGCCCUAAACGAUGUCUACUAGUUGUUGGUGGAGUAAAAUCCAUGAGUAAACGCAGCUAAACGCGUGAAGUAGACCGCCUGGGGAGUACGGUCGCAAGAUUAAAACUCAAAGGAAUUGACGGGGGCCCGCACAAGCGGUGGAUUAUGUGGAUUAAAUUCGAUGCAACGCGAAAAACCUUACCUGGCCUUGACAUGCCACUAAACGAAGCAGAGAUGCAUUAGGUGCCCGUAAAGGGAAAGUGGACACAGGUGCUGCAUGGCUGUCGUCAGCUCGUGUCGUGAGAUG
rnacentral:rRNA from 1 species